AAUCUUCCACAAUGGAACGAAAGUCUGAUGGAGCAACGCCGCGUGAGUGAAGAAGGGUUUCGGCUCGUAAAGCUCUGUUGGUAGUGAAGAAAGAUAGAGGUAGUAACUGGCCUUUAUUUGACGGUAAUUACUUAGAAAGUCACGGCUAACUACGUGCC
rnacentral:rRNA from 1 species